CCUACGGGUGGCAGCAGUUAAGAAUCUUGCACAAUGGGCGCAAGCCUGAUGCAGCGACGCCGCGUGAAUGAUGAAGGCCUUCGGGUUGUAAAGUUCAGUAAGCAGGGAAGAAUAAGUCCGGGGUAAUAUUCCGGAUGAUGACGGUACCUGCCUAAAGCCCCGGCUAACUACGUGCCAGCAGCCGCGGUAAUACGUAUGGGGCAAGCGUUGUUCGGAAUUAUUGGGCGUGAAGGGCGCCUAGGCGGGGGGUGAAAGCUAUGGGCUCAACCCAUAAAUUGCAAUUAAGACUGGUUCUCUUGAGUUCGGGAGAGGAGAGCGGAAUUCCAGGUGUAGCGGUGAAAUGCGUAGAUAUCUGGAAGAACACCAGUGGCGAAGGCGGCUCUCUGGCCUAGAACUGACGCUGAAGCGCGAAAGCGUGGGGAGCGAACAGGAUUAGAUACCCCAGUAGUC
rnacentral:rRNA from 1 species